GACGAACGCUGGCGGCAUGCCUAACACAUGCAAGUCGAGCGAGCAGAUCCCUUCGGGGUGAAGCUAGCGGCGGACGGGUGAGUAACACGUGGGCAACCUGCCUCAUAGAGGGGAAUAGCCUUCCGAAAGGAAGAUUAAUACCGCAUAAGAUUGUAGCUUCGCAUGAAGUAGCAAUUAAAGGAGCAAUCCACUAUGAGAUGGGCCCGCGGCGCAUUAGCUAGUUGGUGAGGUAACGGCUCACCAAGGCGACGAUGCGUAGCCGACCUGAGAGGGUGAUCGGCCACAUUGGGACUGAGACACGGCCCAGACUCCUACGGGAGGCAGCAGUGGGGAAUAUCGCACAAUGGGGGAAACCCUGAUGCAGCAAUGCCGCGUGAGUGAUGACGGCCUUCGGGUUGUAAAGCUCUGUCUUCGGGGACGACAAUGACGGUACCCGAGGAGGAAGCCACGGCUAACUACGUGCCAGCAGCCGCCGUAA
rnacentral:rRNA from 1 species